UUACAUGAGGGUGAGUAUGACACAUGGCAUACCAGAAAAUGGCCAUGUGCUUUCACACAAAACAUGCCUCUCAUGGUCAUGCUUUUUCUAGUUUUGUGUCAGGAUCAUGGCAGUCCCAUGUUUUGUGUGGAAGCACAUGGCCGUAGCCUAUUUUGGCGUGCCAUGUGCUCUCCGGUCUCCUGUCAAGACCCCACCCCCUCGUCUCCUCAUUAAUUAUCUCAUUAUUUUUUUAAUUCCCCUCACCUGUUGCCCUCAUAAUUUGUUCCUUCAUUUAAAACCUGUGUGUUUGCCGUCCUGUGCUUGUUUGUUUUGGAGAGAUCUGCAUCUUUUCCUGUUUAGUUAUGUAUUUGUAAAGUUUCAGCUGUUUCGUCCACGUGGGUUUUUUCUUUUUAUCAAUCAAAUUUUGUGUUAAGCAAUGUUUUCUGCGCCUGGGUUCUGUCUAGUAAACCCUGACAAAAUGGAGGAACCAUUUGUUCACAUACUUCCUGCAGCUAAAGGAUCUUCAUCUCUUCUCUAAGAGCUCCCAGCCUCUGUAUCCUUCUCUGAAGCUCCUGCCUGAGCUGAUCCUUCUCCGCCUCAACGAUCUGGUUUACUCACGACAAUGCAAUUCAAAGUUCACAGAAGAUGUUUGAAAGCGCAACAUCUCACCCGUCUUUGAGAAACUGUCUCCUCCAGCUGCCGAAGCUCCUCGCUGACUCUGAGAAUUUGCUUUUCUUUUUCUUCGAUUUCUUCAUGUAAUUGCUGCAAUCGCUCCUCAGCUUAAAACAAAUCAUAUGUUAGGAAAAGUGCAGAGAUGUUUUACAGUUACUUCAAAAAAUAUUUUGAUAUUUAAGGCACUAUUAAAAAAAAUCUAUGAAGGCCAUAGAUCAGGGGUUUUCAAACUUUAUGAUGUUAAGGACCCCCAAAUAUGAUGAACCUUUUGUGUGGAACCAUACCUAAAAAAUAAUUUAUGUAUAACAAAUACAUGCUGGAUGUAUAAACAUUCAAAUAUAGAUUUUCAAUUCAAAUGUAUUUGUA